rnacentral:pre_miRNA from 1 species
GUGAGUGGGAGACCAGGGCACGGCAUGGGGAGCUGCUGGGCUGUCAGAGGGGCCCCAGCAUCUGAGCCUGUCCUCCCACAG